UCCGGUUUGACACCGGCAGUCUCGCUAGAGUACCCGGCAUGACCCGCUGGCAACUAACGAUAGGGGUUUCGCUCGUUGAGGGACUUAACCCGACACUUCACAGCACGAGCUGACGACAGCCAUGCAGCACCUGUGCACGUUCCACCCUUGCGGGCGUGGCUCCCCUUUCAGGGAGUUAAUCCGUGCAUGUCAAGCCUAGGAUAAGGUUCUUCGCGUUGCUUCGAAUUAAGCCACAUGCUCCACCGCUUGUGUGAGCCCCCGUCAAUUCCUUUGAGUUUUAGCCUUGCGACCGUACUCCCCAGGCGGCACACUUAACACUUUUGCUUCGGCCAGGAGGGCGUCAAACCUCCCCGACCUAGUGUGCAUCGUUUACGGCGUGGACUAC
rnacentral:misc_RNA from 1 species